UGUUACCCCCCACAGUGUCCCAAGACCAGGCCUACCCCAGAAGCCCCUGUGCCCGCCUCUCGGGACCUCACCUUCACCUGGACCGGCCGUUCACUAGCUUGGAGGAUGCCGGUGGGGAGCAGCCCCGCCGCGGAACCGCUCUCGGCGCCCUCUCCUUUGGCCAUGACCCGCGGGCCACGCCGUCUGGAACCGGGACUCCGGGAUGCUCCUGUGUUCUGCGGGCCCGCACUCGCCUGGGUCUCCCCGUCCUAGGCGCAGCCGCAGCUACCAGCACGUUCGCCAGCACUGAGCAAACCAGGAUCGCCGGCAAGGAAAAAAACUCCUCUCGCAUGCCCCCUCCGCGCCUCUUAAAGGUUCGGUCCUGAGCUUCCAGCCAAUCCCUUCACGCGCCUGCCCUACUCGGCUGGCGGAGCCUCGCUGCUUAGCCACGUUCUCAAAGCCGGCAUCCGGCAACGCGUGCUCCUCACCACCUAAACAAGGCUGAGAAACCCACCUGACUCGCCCAAGGAAACUGAAGCCCAAGGCUGAAAGUGACCUGCCCGAGGUCCCCCAGAGGAAGAGAUACUGAGAUCCGACUCCCCCACGAUGAUCACAGCACGCUCCCUGAUGCACCCUGGCAGAUUCCAUCUGGGCACAUCCGCUGUACAGAAACAAGCCGGUGAAACGGUGAAGACCAUCAGAAGGCAUGGGCGAGGCUCCAUGUCCCCACUCUGAGCCGUGUGACACGACCCUGUCCCAUAAGAAGGCACAGAUGGGGUUCCACGUCCCCCAUGUGAGCCGUGUGACACUACCCUGUCCCAUAAGAAGGCAUAGGCAGGCUUUUUGUCCCCACUGUGAGCUGUGUGACACAACCCUGUCCCAUAAAAAGGCACAGAUGGGGUUCCAUGUCCCCCAUGUGAGCCGUAUGACCCUCCCCAGUCUCUCUUCCCUGUUUUAGUCUUGAUUUGACUACGGUGUCCUCUCUGAUCUCUUUCAGCCCUAAAUUCUUCACUCCCUUGAAUCAUAGCAUCCCGUAAAUGAUCUGAAUCACCAGGCCAGAUCAUGCUCUCCUUGAAAAUAAAAACUAUAUCUCUUUUACUUCCA